rnacentral:rRNA from 1 species
AUACGUAGGUGGCAAGCGUUGUCCGGAAUUACUGGGUGUAAAGGGUGCGUAGGCGGGGAUGCAAGUCAGAUGUGAAAUCUAUCGGCUCAACUGGUAAACUGCAUUUGAAACUGCAUUUCUUGAGUGGUGGAGAGGUAAGCGGAAUUCCUAGUGUAGCGGUGAAAUGCGUAGAUAUUAGGAGGAACACCAGUGGCGAAGGCGACUCUCUGGACUGUAACUGACGCUGAGGCACGAAAGCGUGGGUAGCGAACAGGAUUAGAUACCCUGGUAGUCCACGCCAUAAACGAUGAGUGCUAGGUGUUGGGGGUCAAACCUCAGUGCCGCAGUUAACGCAUUAAGCACUCCGCCUGGGGAGUACGGUCGCAAGACUAAAACUCAAAUGAAUUGACGGGG